ensembl:lncRNA PEF1-AS1 PEF1 and COL16A1 antisense RNA 1
UCACACACUCACCUGCCGGUAUUCUAAUCACAGAAUUACUGGAGCAUCAAGAAGUGCCUGCAUGCUUGGAAGGGCUUCCAGGCAGAUGAACACACCUCAGCACCGGGUGGCAUUUUCCCAGGGUGCAACCCGGACCGGCUCUGGGUCACACUGACAAGCCUCUCCGACUCCCCAGGCUGGGUUGGGUGCUCCUCCCUCUCAUCCCACAGCGCUAUGUCUCAUGUCUUCUGGAAAACUUGCCAAUCCCUAGUGACAACAGGGUUAACAAUUUCCAGAGACAGCCCGUACAUAGAAGGAAUGUUUACUGAAAAAAAUGAAGAGGGGUCAGGGCAAGGCGAGGAGCAAGAAGCACCCCCAAGGAAACAGAGAAGACCAGUACAACUGUACCUCUUUGCCAGCUGCACCAUCCGUACCAGGUGGCACGUUCCAGAGCCAUAGCCUCUGUUCUAUUCAUCUCCAGUCUCCUGGGGUGGAAGUGUCCAGCACAGAGACUGCCACACUGCAAGACGAAGGGGCUGGACACACGGAAGAGAGAGGCGGAACCCUGCACCCCCUCAACCUCAGCCCUACUGAGUCUCCAAUGGGGCCACGCUUCUGAGUGCACCUCCCCGUGUCAUCUGUAAUGUGAGGGGGAACCAGGCUUGAUAUGGCAUUCCCAAUCCAGGGC